ACAAAAUUAUGCCAGGUCUCUGAAGAUAUGUCUGAUUCAGCCGAAGCCCCACCUGCCCCACCUGCCAACCCUGCUGCAGAGGAGGAAGUAGUUGAUAUUGAUCUGGAGGAUCCCGAAGUAAAGGCUGCAGCUGCUAAAAUACAAGGAAACUUUUUGAGACGUAAGAUGAAGAAGGACGCCAAAGCCGCAGGUCAAUAACUUUUGGUCGACUGAGAGGGGAGGAUGUAGUAUUUAAGUUGUUACUAUAAAACUGAAAAAUGUCAUAAUAGCUUCAUAUUGAAUACCAUACAGGUUAACAAUCAGUUUGAGUUUGACACUGACAUGAUAUGUGAUUUUAAAGUCACGUGAUAGUGAUAUGAUAUGUGAUUUUAAAGUCUGCAGUUAUAAAACAAGUGUGGAUGUAAAUUAGUAUGUAUUUAGAAUGAUAAAUAAGCAACUAGAUUUGUAAGCGUUCAGUAACAGAUAGAUACUCAUUGGGGAGCAACCAAAACUUAUAUUUGCCUUUAUUAAUAUUAACUUAUUUUCGUGCAUCUGUUUCCGAUAUAAUGGAUUUGCUCCUUUUCAUAGCCCUCAUAUUAAAUAAGCUUUUGAAUUGUAUUAUUUCAUUAUACUCAGCUAUAUGAUGCCAUGAAAUAAUUGUGAUGUAAUAUUUUAUCUUAUGUUCUAAAGUUAAGACUUAA